rnacentral:tRNA from 1 species
GGGGUCAUAGCUCAGUGGUAGAGCAAUCCGUUGCAGCCGGAUAGGUCCGACGUUCAAAUCGUCGUGGCCCCU